rnacentral:rRNA from 1 species
GGGUGACUGCGUACCUUUUGUAUAAUGGGUCAGCGACUUAUAUUCUGUAGCAAGGUUAACCGUAUAGGGGAGCCGCAGGGAAACCGAGUCUUAACUGGGCGUUAAGUUGCAGGGUAUAGACCCGAAACCCGGUGAUCUAGCCAUGGGCAGGUUGAAGGUUGGGUAACACUAACUGGAGGACCGAACCGACUAAUGUUGAAAAAUUAGCGGAUGACUUGUGGCUGGGGGUGAAAGGCCAAUCAAACCGGGAGAUAGCUGGUUCUCCCCGAAAGCUAUUUAGGUAGCGCCUCGUGAACUCAUCUUCGGGGGUAGAGCACUGUUUCGGCUAGGGGGUCAUCCCGACUUACCAACCCGAUGCAAACUACGAAUACCGAAGAAUGUUAUCACGGGAGACACACGGCGGGUGCUAACGUCCGUCGUGAAGAGGGAAACAACCCAGACCGCCAGCUAAGGUCCCAAAGUCAUGGUUAAGUGGGAAACGAUGUGGGAAGGCCCAGACAGCCAGGAUGUUGGCUUAGAAGCAGCCAUCAUUUAAAGAAAGCGUAAUAGCUCACUGGUCGAGUCGGCCUGCGCGGAAGAUGUAACGGGGCUAAACCAUGCACCGAAGCUGCGGCAGCGACACUAUGUGUUGUUGGGUAGGGGAGCGUUCUGUAAGCCGUUGAAGGUGGCCUGUGAGGGUUGCUGGAGGUAUCAGAAGUGCGAAUGCUGACAUAAGUAACGAUAAUGCGGGUGAAAAACCCGCACGCCGGAAGACCAAGGGUUCCUGUCCAACGUUAAUCGGGGCAGGGUGAGUCGACCCCUAAGGCGAGGCCGAAAGGCGUAGUCGAUGGGAAACAGGUUAAUAUUCCUGUACUCGGUGUUACUGCGAAGGGGGGACGGAGAAGGCUAUGUUGGCCGGGCGACGGUUGUCCCGGUUUAAGCAUGUAGGCGGAUGUUCCAGGUAAAUCCGGAACGUUACUAACGCUGAGGUGUGAUGACGAGGCACUACGGUGCUGAAGUGACAAAUGCCCUGCUUCCAGGAAAAGCCUCUAAGCAUCAGGUAACAUCAAAUCGUACCCCAAACCGACACAGGUGGUCAGGUAGAGAAUACCAAGGCGCUUGAGAGAACUCGGGUGAAGGAACUAGGCAAAAUGGUGCCGUAACUUCGGGAGAAGGCACGCUGAUGGUAGGUGAAGUGACUUGCUCAUGGAGCUGAAAUCAGUCGAAGAUACCAGCUGGCUGCAACUGUUUAUUAAAAACACAGCACUGUGCAAACACGAAAGUGGACGUAUACGGUGUGACGCCUGCCCGGUGCCGGAAGGUUAAUUGAUGGGGUUAUCCGUAAGGAGAAGCUCUUGAUCGAAGCCCCGGUAAACGGCGGCCGUAACUAUAACGGUCCUAAGGUAGCGAAAUUCCUUGUCGGGUAAGUUCCGACCUGCACGAAUGGCGUAAUGAUGGCCAGGCUGUCUCCACCCGAGACUCAGUGAAAUUGAACUCGCUGUGAAGAUGCAGUGUACCCGCGGCAAGACGGAAAGACCCCGUGAACCUUUACUAUAGCUUGACACUGAACACUGGUCCUUGAUGUGUAGGAUAGGUGGGAGGCUUUGAAGUGUGGACGCCAGUCUGCAUGGAGCCAUCCUUGAAAUACCACCCUUUAAUGGCUGGUGUUCUAACGUGGGCCCCUAAUCGGGGUUGCGGACAGUGUCUGGUGGGUAGUUUGACUGGGGCGGUCUCCUCCUAAAGAGUAACGGAGGAGCACGAAGGUCAGCUAAUCCUGGUCGGACAUCAGGAGGUUAGUGCAAUGGCAUAAGCUGGCUUGACUGCGAGCGUGACGGCGCGAGCAGGUGCGAAAGCAGGUCAUAGUGAUCCGGUGGUUCUGAAUGGAAGGGCCAUCGCUCAACGGAUAAAAGGUACUCCGGGGAUAACAGGCUGAUACCGCCCAAGAGUUCAUAUCGACGGCGGUGUUUGGCACCUCGAUGUCGGCUCAUCACAUCCUGGGGCUGAAGUAGGUCCCAAGGGUAUGGCUGUUCGCCAUUUAAAGUGGUACGCGAGCUGGGUUUAGAACGUCGUGAGACAGUUCGGUCCCUAUCUGCCGUGGGCGCUGGAGAAUUGAGGGGGGCUGCUCCUAGUACGAGAGGACCGGAGUGGACGCAUCACUGGUGUUCGGGUUGUCAUGCCAAUGGCAUUGCCCGGUAGCUAAAUGCGGAAGAGAUAAGUGCUGAAAGCAUCUAAGCACGAAACUUGCCCCGAGAUGAGUUCUCCCUGACUCCUUGAGAGUCCUGAAGGAACGUUGAAGACGACGACGUUGAUAGGCCGGGUGUGUAAGCGCAGCGAUGCGUUGAGCUAACCGGUACUAAUGAACCGUGAGGCUUAACCUUACAACGCCGAAG